AGCCUUCAGUGCUGGCCUCCAGUCACUCGUGGGUGAAACCCCUCAAACUGAGGCCCAGUUUGAGAUCAGCCCUGUUCUGAGGCUGCAGACUCAAGUGUCUACAGAAGCCAAGGGACAGCAUGAGUGAAGCGGGUCCCUACAGUUACCACAGCAGCGGGGGUGAGGUCUGUUCCCAUAGUAAAGGCCUCAGGGGGAUGCCCUUGAUCUACUCGUGGAAUUUCAAGUCUUUCAACAUUUGGGGAUAGAAUUGAUUUGGAGGCAAGGGACUCUUCCAGUUAACAUGAGGAGAAUAACAUUUUAUUUGCCAGAUUUUCUUAGAAGAAGAAAGCACACUUUUUUAGAAAAACAAAACGUUAGAAGAAACAAGCAUGCUUUGACACAUGCUUGUUAGGAGAAGAACUGUCCCACCUGUCUGAGAACUACCUUCUAACUAAUUGCAUUGGUAGCCAACAGUUACAAAUUGGGCAUUUCAUUUAAAAGCCUGAAUUCCUUCUUUCUUUUUGUGCAGUACAUCUUCUUAGCCCAGAUUAGCUAAUGGGCAGAUGAGAGCAAGGCCCCAUGAGGCUGGGACAUGGGGUAGGUACUGGGGUGCCGUGAGGGUGGCUGAGAAUAAAAAUGCAUCAGCAACUUCACUGUUCUGUUAAGGACAUGCAUGUCCUUCACACAGAAUGUUUAAUUUCUCCACGAGAUGGCCGUGGCUUAGAAUAGUCUAUCAGAGGCAGCAAUCAAUUUAGAGACACCUGGGCCCUCACCAGCAAUUCUGGCUCCUCAGGUGAGCCUGGGGAUGUCUUUCUCAUGGGACAAGACACAUUUCUCUCCGGCAGGCCAAAGCCUGCCAGAUAGCCGUGUUCAUAUCCAGAGCUGGCUCCCAAUCCCAAAGACAGCGCUCCACUUUAACUCCAGAGGCACUGGCAGUGUGUCGACAUCCUUGCCCAAAAGAUCGGAAUAGUCUCAGUUAUUUUGGGCAGGCUGUGUUAAACAGGAGGUUCUGAUCUAAUAGUUGGUCUGUGUAAAUUGUCUUAGGAGUAAUUUCAUUUGCGUAACAUUUGCAUUCACAUUUAAAUUCUCAACUAUCUGAAGAAGAAAUAGUCAUUAGACACAGACUGGGCUUGCCUUACUGUCCCUGUGACUACCACUUCCCCCAUGUACACCCCUGGGCUGAGCAAUAUAAGGUCAAGGGUGGUGAAUGGGAUUUUCCUGAAGAAAAAUGGGUUGUCAGUAUGUUCCUUCCCACACCUAACUGCCCAGUAACAGGAGGGCGGCGCUGAGCUCCCGGAGGCCUGUCCUUGGAAAUCUCCACCAAAUCACUAAGACUCCAGCGAAGAGCCAGGGAAGAGGCGUAUUUUCUCUCCUCUUCCCCCACUGGGGUGUGUAGGGAGGAGGAGGUGCGGUCAUGCCUCCCAAAGCUGCACAGGCAUCAAUCAGGACUGAAACAGUCCAGGCAGGCGGUGCGUCCUGGUCAGUUCAGGGCUGAAACAGUCCAGGCAGUUCAGGACUGAAACAGUUCAGGCAGGCGGGGCCUCCUGGUCAGUUCAGGGCUGAAACGGGCCGAGUAGGCGGGGCAUCCUGGUCAGUUCAGGGUUGAAAUAUGCGGGGCAGGCGGGGCAUCCUCGUCAGUUCAGGGCUGAAACGGGCCGCCCGCGUAGGUGGGUCAUCCUGGUCAGUUCAGGGCUGAAAUGGGCCGCGUAGGCGGGGCAUCCUCGUCAGUUCAGGGCUGAAACGGCCGCGUAGGCGGGUCAUCCUGGUCAGUUCAGGGCUGAAACGGGCCACGUAGGCGGGGCAUCCUGGUCAGUUCCGGGCUGAAACGGGCCGCGUAGGCGGGGCAUCCUGGUCAGUUCCGGGCUGAAACGGGCGCGUAGGCGGGGCAUCCUGGUCAGUUCAGGGCUGAAAUGGGCCAGGUAGGCAGGGUAUCCUGGUCAGUUCGGGCUGCUACAGCAAAGUGCCAUACCCUGAGUGGCUCUAACAAGCAACCAUUAUUUCUCGCAGCUCUGGAGGCUACAAGUCCAAGGAGACCUUCCCAGACACAAGCUGGACUCUACUCCCUCAGUGACCC
rnacentral:lncRNA from 1 species